UACGAAGGGGGCUAGCGUUGCUCGGAUUGACUGGGCGUAAAGGGCGCGUAGGCGGUUUGCAUAGUCAGACGUGAAAUUCCUGGGCUUAACCUGGGGGCUGCGUUUGAUACAUGCAGGCUUGAGUUCGGAAGAGGGUCGUGGAAUUCCCAGUGUAGAGGUGAAAUUCGUAGAUAUUGGGAAGAACACCGGUGGCGAAGGCGGCGACCUGGUCCGAUACUGACGUGAGGCGCGAAAGCGUGGGGAGCAAACAGG
rnacentral:rRNA from 1 species